rnacentral:ncRNA from 2 species
ACAUGUUCUCGGGGCGGGGUGCAAUUCCCCACCGGCGGUAAUCAUCUUAAUCAUCUUCGCUUGUGCGACAGAUGUAGCUCGCGAGCGCUCGAUCGCCUGCUCAUGCAACCUAUGCAAAAAGUCGGCGAACGAGGUCAGCAGACCCGGUUGGAUUCCGGGGCCGACGGUACAGUCCGGAUGAAAGAGAACGGGA